CUGUAAUACUGCAUCAUGGGAGCUCAGGGCUUUAAGAAUAGCAUCUUUCCUAUUCACAUCAGACCAUUCAGCAUGUAAUCUUUUUAUCUCCUGCUGCAAAUACUUCUUGUGAUCCCAUCUUCAUCUGCUGGGUAUGUCCCACACCUCACACCUUUCCAUCUGUUGGCAUGGCUCUGUACAAAUAGCAGAUAAGACAGAGUAAUUAGGUGGAGGGGCAAGAGGAGCUCCAUGAGGGGUGAAGCUCAUAGCCCUGCAGUCCCAAACAUCAUGGGCAGGGCACAGCUGCAAAGAGGAACUGUCACCAGGCAUGGGACUGACUGCCUGUCAGUCUGCUGCAGUUGUGGAGGCCAAGAGAAGCAAAGGUCACAGGAAGCUCUACCAAGAAGCUGCCAAACAAGAAUCAGGCCCUUCUAGGGCAAAUGGUGAUAAACCAUUUGCCACCACCACUCCAGAUCUGGAUGGUCUUACAGACUCAGAAGAAUUCAGUUCACAUUUGGGUUUGCAAAGGGAGUCUGUCCAACAGGCACAGGAAUACCUUCAGGCUGAUUAUUCCUCUUCCUCACUGUAAUCAGGAGAAGGCAUCUAGCUGAUGCAGAAAAAUCAUGUUUGGUUCAGCUCACAGAGCUGUAUGAAAAAGUCUGUGCUCCCUGUAAGCCACUCAUGCACCUCAUGGCUCAGAAGAAAGACUGUGGUUCUAGCAAGAGGACCCAUCCCUUUGAACAAAUCACCUGCUGUUUUUAGCCCAGACACUGAGACAGAGAAGUACACCAAAUGAAAUAACAGAUGAAACACAGAUGUGGAAACCAAGACAACCGAGAACUGAUGGAGUUCAAAUGACAGAAAUAACCCUAACAGAUCAAUACCAGACUAGGCAGCCUGGAAGAACGUGUGGUCUCAAAUACUCGUCUAUCAGACUGAGAGCAGAAGUUACUUUCAUUUCAGAAAUGAUGAAGUCAUUCACAUGCCAGCUAUAAAACACAAAUGCCAGACCCUUGGCAUUGUGCAGCUACCUGACAAAGGCAUUAAGUUAGUUGGACUCAUUUGAAGCACAAAUCUUUUUAUAUUUUCAAAACACCAAGAGCUGUGCAAGUAUUCAGGCUGCCAUGGCAACGUGGUACAUUUGUUCCUGAGUGUCAUUUCCCAUCACAAUUGGUUGGGAUUUUUCUUCAGAACUUUGCCCAACUUCAAAACUUUGGUUGCUGAGGCAACACCUCUCUUUGAAGGGAAGUGAUUGGCUCUGCCAAUCCGUGCCAAGGCAAGGGCUCUUCUGUGGAGACCGGUGUGCUACGGCAAGGGCGGAGGCGUUAGGGAGACUACAAAGAUAUCCAGGGAAGCAGGGGCAGAGGAAGGAAGUGUGCUCAGAAGGGCAACACACACCUUCAUGUGAGGCAGGUGGGAUGGGCUCUGAGUGGGAGGCUCCAGGCUUAGUACAACGAGCUAAUGUGCCACAUUACAUCAGUGAGGAGAUUAAGUGAGAUCUCGUUGAGAAAACACUUUGCCUUUGAUAUAUCCCGUGAGGAUCUGGUGGAGAUGCAUAGUCCUCACAAGACCUCGGCAAGAAAGGAAUUUGUCACUGGGCUUGUUUGACAAAAAAAUUGAUGGAGGCAAUGAAUGAACUACUGAAGGUCAUGCAGUAAAUUAGUGGCUGAUACAGGAAUAAGCCCCUGGGGGUGUUAUGUUUCAUUUGUAAGAUCAUCAUUUCUCUGAUAUUUAACUUAUGCUUAAACAGAAAACAAUUUUCCUUCUGCAGAGAAGCGCUGCAACCCCUUUUUCUCUCACUAACAUAUUACAGUGCUCACCUCUGCUAUUUGUCAACGUAUUUGGCUGAAAAGCACUGAGCAGGGAUUACUUUCUUUCCAGAUAGCGAGGCAAGGAUCCGGACUGUCCCUGACAUCCUGCUGCAAUAAAUGUGAUUACACCAAUGAGCA
rnacentral:lncRNA from 1 species